CUAUUUAUUUUUAGAAAGCUUUGGUUUUUAAAUUAAUUUUCCUUCUUUUUAGUCAAUCGUACGAAAGAAAAAAUAGAGAUAAGCUUAGACGAAAUCGACCAAGGAUUUUUAUUAGUUUUAUGGUUCUUGCAGACAUCGAAUUAAGCUCUUUUUAUGGAUUGGUUGGUUUUUUUUGGUGAGACCUAGAACUGUUUGAUAUUUCUUUGAAGUCAAGGAUUAGUUCAUGUAGACCAUGACUGAAUUUUAGCUUGGCAGUAGUCGGGUUAAGUAUCUCAAGGAUUUGGGGUUUAUUUUUGAAUGGAUCCCUUGUUUACAAGAGAAAGAGAUAUUGAAGUAGAUCUUGAAAGUGGUGGGAUUACCAGUGAGGAUGAAAAAACAAAAGAUCGUGUUCCAUCGAAUUUACAAACAAAGAGAACUCUCAGUGGAGUUUGGAGUGGUCUUUUGAGUUUUGAUAAGAUAGGAAAGGGUGAAUCCAGCAUGAACUCAUGCAGUAGUUCUUCGAGUUUUGGUUGCGGAGUUGAGGGUGAGAAUAUGGAAUGCUUGGUAGACAAGAAUUCGGAAGGAGAAGAGAAUCAUGAACUCAUGGCGGUAGCAGAGAAGAACUUAGCAGAAGUGAAGUGCAAGAAGAAAAGCACUAGGAAGCCUCCCAAACCUCCACGGCCACCGAAAGGUCCGCUGUUGGAUGCUGCUGACCAGAAGUUGGUGAGGGAGAUUGCUGAACUUGCCAUGAGGAAACGUGCGAGGAUGAAACGGAUUAAAACAUUGAGGAGGAUGAAAGAAGCAAAGGCAUCAUCAUCUAGCAGUGGCCUUUAUGCUAUGGUUAUCACGGUUCUCUUUUGCUUCGUCUUACUCUUUCAAGGUAUAUGUUCCAGACGUGGUGCAACUGUGAUGUUAAACGGGUCUCCUGCACCUGUGGUUGGUUCAAGUGAAGGCUUGAUUUCUGUUCAGUUUUCCAAGAGCUUUCCUACGACUGGAAGUCAUGACCACGAUCCUUCUAGUUUGUCAGAACAGCAGGUUUCUGGUUCUUCAGUUAUUGAGAAAGAACCGGAAAAGUUGCCCGAAGAUGCAGAGAAAUAGCUGCCGAUGUCGAAUUUUACAAGUACUCAGCAAAACAAGAGGCAGCUGGUCCGCACAAAUGAAUAUCAUAGUCGAUACAGUCAAAAACGCAAAACCAGGUAGAAAUCUCGAAGCUUCAUAAGCCAUUUUCAGAUUGCAGAACAGCCAUGCAUUAGCUGGGAAGAGAUCAUCUUGCUUCAAUCUGGAGGAGUCGGAAUCUGAUUAUCCCAAUUCACCGCUUCGACCGCCGCUACAGGUACCUCCUCAACCCAAAACGUAUUUUCAGUUAAAUUAAAUCUCUCUUGGGCGAUUAUAUGACCUACACCAUUAGCCUUUCUGUCAACAUGUUUGAACGAAAUCCUUUGAAAACUUGUUGCCAUAGCUUUAAUCUCUUCAAUAUAGACACCCAUGGUAGAUCUGUCUACUACGCCUUGGUUGAUUAUCAUGAUUGUCGUUCGGGAAUCGCCCUCCGCUUCAAUCUGUCUAAAUCCCAUCUCCUCCGCAAACUUUAGAGCUUGGAUACAUGCUAUAGCUUCAGCAGAAAAAGAUUUGAACGCUGCAUCAAAGUUCACUUUUACGUUUGGGUCCUGUGGAGGUUUCCAGUGAGUUUUCAUGGUCUCUCUCUGGUCAGGUAAUUUCCGAUUUAUCUCAUCAAGCUCCCGUACUAGACUAGCCACUAUGAUUCUGAUAUCUUGAGCUGUUUGUUGCUUGCCUUCCAUGACCUGCUUGUUUCGAGCAUGCCAAAUUGCCCAAACUGUGAUCGCUAUAACUUUGCAGGGCCACACCUUGUGAUGACAUGCAUCAAUAUUUCAGGCUCACCGCCACAUCUAGGACAUAUCGAGGAGGCCACCAGCCUUUUUUGUAUAGAAUAUAGGCUGUAAGGAUGUAAUUAUCUAGUAUUCGCCAGUUUGCAAUUUUUAUUUUAGGAGGAAUCUGUAAUUGCCAGAGAUUUUUUUGUAAAUUCCUCUGCUCUCAUGUAUGUCGUCCGCUGUAAUCUGGCCACUGAUUAGAGUUCGAUACCCGCUCCGGACAGAGUAUUCUCACCCCUCCAAACAAUCUUAUCGACAUCAACUCUUCUGCAUAAGGGAAUACACCGAAUGGUUGCAGCUUCCUCAAGAGUAAAAACACUGCCCAUCACGGAAGCCAUUUAUCUCUCCAAAUUGAAAUUUCGGUGCCAGAUCCCACUCUCCAACCAAUCCCGUCUUCCAGCAAUUUUCGUGUCCCAUAUAUGCUUUUCCAAACAUACGAAGGGUAAGAUCCCAAACUCACAUUCCAGAAAUUAGUAUUUGGGAAAUAUUUAGCACUAUAAAUGCGUGCAACUAACGAUUUAGGAUUAGUAACUAAUCUUCACCCUUGCUUUGCCAACAAUGCAAUAUUGAAUUUACACAAAUCAUAGAAACCCAUACCUCCACUCUCUUUUGGCAAACACAAAUUGGCUCAUUUACUCCAAUGCAUUCCUUUCCGACUCGAGCUUUUCUGCCACAAAAAUUGAUUCAUAGUCUUUUCUAGAUCUGAGCACAAAGUCUUUGGUAGCAAGAAACACGACAUAAAGUAUGUUGGAAGCUAGGAAGCACGGACAUGGCUCAUCUCUCAUCGUACCAGUGUCGUACAUGUGUUUGACACGAACACUCGCGUGUCUGAAUAUGUACAGGACAUGUAGAAAUACGUUAAAAAAAGAGGUUGGACACGAUCUCGCAGAUGUCUAAAACCGGAUAUAGUCUUGACACGGUCACAGUGGAUAUAGAUUGAAAAACCACAGUUGAGAAUGAAAGGGGAAAUAAAGUUCUGAAGUAGUCUAGGAAAUGAAAGGCUUUUUUCCCCUGAAAUUUGUUUUCUCAUACACAUUUGGCUUGUAGAUUUUUCUAGAAUUCCUCUCCCUAUGUUUGAUAAAGCAGUCUAGAAAACUGGGUUGGAUUUAAUUUCUAUUUAUUGCUGUUUUCGGAGUGUUUUAAGCAGCUCAAGGGUCUGUUUUGGGUAUUGUUUUAUUAAUCCAGUAGAUAUUUAAAAAAAGAGUAAAAAAAUAAAAAUAAAAAAAGCUUAUUUGAGAAGCUUUCAAGCUUUGUACUCGCUUUGUUGCUUUUGAUGUUUCCAUUUUUACAUUUCAAAAAUAUUUUAAACAUUUAUCACUCUUAUUUCUAUUUUCCUACUUUCGACGAACUUCAGGUAAGUUUAAUAUUUAUUUUGUUUAUGCUUUGAAUGUGUUAUAUUUUUUAUUUGUUUAGUUACUAUUUUUAAAAAAUUUCUAUAUAUUUGUAUGUUAAAUAAUUGAUUGUGAUGAUCACUCUUGAAGUAUAUAUUGAUUUUUUUAAUACUUUAGGUUUUUAAUUAUGAUAUCUCAAAUUGCAUUAAAUAAUGUUACUAAUACUAGUUAGUAACACUCCUCUUUAGAGAUAUGUUACUAAAUUACCAAAAACUAUUGAAGGAGGUGGAGAUGUUAGUUUUGUGUGUAAUUUUUGCAAUGCUACAUUUAAAGGUUCAUACUCUAAGGUUAAAGCACAUUUAUUGAAACUAAAUGGACAAGGAAUUCGAGUUUUGUGUUGCAAAAAAUAUGUGCUGCAAAAAACGCCGAAAAGAAUAAGGUUACAUAUGAUGUUUUGUGUUGGAUAAAUAAUGUUGGUGAUGAUGUUAUCUUUAUAAGAAACUUCAUAAUGAAUCACUUUAUGAGGUUGACAAUAUUUAAUUCUUUUGUGCCUUUGAAAUUACUUACCGUUGUGGAUACUUGAUUUGCUUCUAUGAUUGUGAUGAUAAAAAGACUCAAACUCAUUAAACGGGGUCUCCAAAAUAUGGUUAUUAGUGAUGAAUGAUCUACUUAUGAAGAAGAUGAUGCUUCCAAAGCCUCUUUGGUGAAGGAAAAUUUUUUUUGGAUGACCUUUGGUGAGAUAAGGUUGAUUAUAUCCUUUCUUCUAUGGGAUCUAUAUAUGAUAUGCUUCGAAUUAUGGACAUGGAUAGGCCUACUCUUCACUUGGUUUAUGAGAUGUGGGAUGAAAUGAUUGAAAAAGUGAAGACAAACAUUUAUAGGCAUGAAGGGAAGAAAGGAGACGAGAGAUCAAUCUUUUAUGAAGUGGUAUAUGAUAUUCUUAUUGAUCGAUGGACUAAGAGUGGUACACCACUUCAUUGUAUGGUUCAUUCUUUAAAUGUAAGUUAUCAUUGUAGUGAUUGAGUUAAUGAGGUUCCAAAUCGUCUUCCUCCACUUAAAGAUGUAGAAAUCUCAGAGGAAAGGAAUAAGUGCUUAAGAAGAUAUUUUCCUUCUACUGAAGAAAGAAAGAUGGCAUUCCAAGAGUUUGCAAGAUUUUCGGGGCCACUAGAUUAUUUUUGGUUCAUUUGAUUUAUUACAAGAUAGAUGGCUUUUGGAUCCCAAGUCUUGGUGGUUAGUUCAUGGGUAUAACAACCCGUUUUUUAGUGGUAUUGGAAAUAGUAGUUUCAAGACCACAAAUUCGACGAGUGAGCUUGUAAAUAUUAUUAAUUAAUAUUUAUGAGUCAAGUCUAAUAUUAUUGAAAUUUUGAUUUAAUAAAUUUCAUUAAUUGAUUGUAUAGUUAA